UUCUUUUUAAGAAUACAAAAUCGCGAUAAAGGUAGAAAAUUUAGAUGGUAUUAAUUUUGAUAUGGAUCACCGUUGAGAACUUUGCCUGAGGUAUUAAAUUCUAUUUUCCCUCUUUAGAAAUGUUUCAUGUAGCUCCUAAUUGUGAUGCUUCAUUUACAUAUUUUUAAAAUUUUAUCUUAUAAUAGGGAUAAAGUGUGUCCGAGUCAAUUUGAUGUUACAGACUUGCAGCUAACUGUUGUGCAUUAUAUAAUUGCAUAUUUUUUAGACACCAGAUAUGGCCAAGUUCCAUCUACAAUGUUAACAGAAUCUUUGAUAGGUAAAGGAGGCAGACAAAAAAGCUAAACAUCUUUUUUCUUCCGUAUAGCUCCCAGGCAAUUACACUGGGCAAUGCUUGAUAUAAGGGCUUCAAAUAUACAUUUGCAGGGUGUUUAUCGUAUGAGUA
rnacentral:lncRNA from 1 species